rnacentral:rRNA from 1 species
GAUGAACGCUGGCGGCGUGCCUAAUACAUGCAAGUCGAGCGAACGGACGAGAAGCUUGCUUCUCUGAUGUUAGCGGCGGACGGGUGAGUAACACGUGGAUAACCUACCUAUAAGACUGGGAUAACUUCGGGAAACCGGAGCUAAUACCGGAUAAUAUUUUGAACCGCAUGGUUCAAAAGUGAAAGAGGGUCUUGCUGUCACUUAUAGAUGGAUCCGCGCUGCAUUAGCUAGUUGGUAAGGUAACGGCUUACCAAGGCAACGAUGCAUAGCCGACCUGAGAGGGUGAUCGGCCACACUGGAACUGAGACACGGUCCAGACUCCUACGGGAGGCAGCAGUAGGGAAUCUUCCGCAAUGGGCGAAAGCCUGACGGAGCAACGCCGCGUGAGUGAUGAAGGUCUUCGGAUCGUAAAGCUCUGUUAUUAGGGAAGAACAUAUGUGUAAGUAACUGUGCACAUCUUGACGGUACCUAAUCAGAAAGCCCCGGCUAACUACGUG